CUCUGAGCAAGCCAUGCCAGAGUGCAGCAUUUGGCCCUGAAGAUGGAGCUGCUGACAAGCUGGAAUUCAACCAUGAUCAAAUGUACGGGUGGCAGAUCUACUGAGGAGGUAUAACACACACACAGCAGGACCUAAUCAAGCUGCAAAGUAACCUGAAGAGAUUAGAGCAGUAGGAGCUAUAGGCAACAGAAGAGAAUCCAGGAGCAAUGCCAGUCCCACACCACUGAGUGAAUAAAUC
rnacentral:lncRNA from 1 species